rnacentral:rRNA from 1 species
CUAGCCCCGCCUAGCCACUAGCCCGAGCUCCUGGAGCACUCUCUACCCGCCAUCGCGGCCUUGGCCACCGCCUCUUCCCUCCCUCGAUUCGGCCGAGUCCGAGCCCCUCCCUCGCUCCUUCCACCACCAGUGAGAUCCACUCACUCCGGCGCCCAUGCCCAUGCCCUUUCCCCCUCGCCGGAACCAUCGUGGUCGCGAGCCCCAUCUCCUCCCGUAGCCAUCUCCGCCGGAGUCCAUGCUCUGCCCGACCCCUUCCUCCUCGGCGUGCGCAAAGCCCCUGGUUGGAUGCGCUGUUGAGCGUUGAAUCCAUCCAUAGGCGGAGCGUCGCCGGAGGCCCUCUGUGGCGCCGGCAAUCGCCGCCCGACGCCGGUGUCCUCCCUCUACCUCGCGGGCGAGCGAGGAGAAGAAGACGACGACACAGCGCCCUGCCAGCUGGCCGCGGGUCCCGCCAGUCUGUGGCUGAGCGUUUACCCCGCGGGCCAGCGUGGAUAAGUGACGGGCCCCACACGUGGGACCCACGCGCGUCAGCCCCGCCAUUGUUCCAACGGAUAAGCCCCCUCCGAGAGAGAACGUUUUCCGGCGAAUAUUUCCGCGGCUUCACCACACUUCUCCCCGGUGCCUUCUUCAUCCCCAGCUUGCAGGUCAUGCCGGAUUUGAUUGCUUGCUUGUCGUGGUUUCCGUUCGUGCGAGCUAGGAUAAGCAUUCCAGCCAGAGUCCCUGCGGAGUGGAGUUCACCACCGUCGCCGUUGUUCCGCUGCUAGAGUUAUUCCACUGCUUCGAGUUGUUCUGCUGCUUGCAUAGAGCAACUGAGGAUGGCGUAGUGUCGCCGUACCGAUGUUAUUCAUUGUAAUAUCGUAGAC